rnacentral:rRNA from 1 species
GAUGAACGCUGGCGGCGUGCCUAACACAUGCAAGUCAAGCGAUUCUCCUCGGAGAAGAGCGGCGGACGGGUGAGUAACGCGUGGGUAACCUGCCCUGUACACACGGAUAACAUACCGAAAGGUAUGCUAAUACGAGAUAAUAUGCUUUUAUCGCAUGGUAGAAGGAUCAAAGCUCCGGCGGUACAUGAUGGAACCGCGUCUGAUUAGCUAGUUGGUAAGGUAACGGCUUACCCAGGCGACGAUCAGUAGCCGACCUGAGAGGGCGAUCGGCCACAUUGGAACUGAGCCACGGUCCAACCUCCUACGGGAGGCAGCAGUGGGGAACAGUGCACAAUGGGCGAAAGCAUGAUGCAGCAACGCCGGGUGAGCGAUGAAGGCCUUCGGGUCGUAAAGCUAUGUCCUCAAGGAAGAUAAUGACGGUACUUGAGGAGGAAGCCCCGGCUAACUACGUGCCAGCCGCCGCCGUAA